GGGGCUAUAGCUCAGCUGGGAGAGCGCCUGCCUUGCACGCAGGAGGUCAGCGGUUCGAACCCGCUUAGCUCCA
rnacentral:tRNA from 1 species